rnacentral:rRNA from 1 species
AGUGGCGGACGGGUGAGUAACGCGUAGGAAUCUGCCUGGUAGUGGGGGACAACUCGGGGAAACUCGAGCUAAUACCGCAUACGCCCCAUGGGGGAAAGCGGGGGAUCUUCGGACCUCGCGCUAUCAGAUGAGCCUGCGUUGGAUUAGCUAGUUGGUGGGGUAAAGGCCUACCAAGGCGACGAUCCAUAGCUGGUCUGAGAGGACGAUCAGCCACACUGGGACUGAGACACGGCCCAGACUCCUACGGGAGGCAGCAGUGGGGAAUAUUGGACAAUGGGCGCAAGCCUGAUCCAGCAAUACCGCGUGUGUGAAGAAGGCCCGAGGGUUGUAAAGCACUUUCAAUUGGGAGGAAAAAGCAUGGGUUAAUAGCUCCUGCCUUGACAUUACCUUUAGAAGAAGCACCGGCUAACUCCGUGCCAGCAGCCGCGGUAAUACGGAGGGUGCGAGCGUUAAUCGGAAUUACUGGGCGUAAAGCGUACGUAGGCGGUUGAUUAAGUCAGAUGUGAAAGCCCCGGGCUUAACCUGGGAACUGCAUUUGAAACUGGUCGACUAGAGUUUAGUAGAGGGGAGUGGAAUUUCAGGUGUAGCGGUGAAGUGCGUAGAGAUCUGAAGGAACACCAGUGGCGAAGGCGACUCCCUGGACUAAAACUGACGCUGAGGUACGAAAGCGUGGGUAGCAAACAGGAUUAGAUACCCUGGUAGUCCACGCCGUAAACGAUGUCAACUAGCCGUUGGGACAUAUUAUAUGACUUAGUGGUGCAGCUAACGCAUUAAGUUGACCGCCUGGGG